CCUCAUUGAAACUCGAAGCCCAUCAAGAUCAGAAGAUACAAAGUCUCUAGAGUCUUUGAUAUUUACUCGGAUCAGCUCAAGUGAAGAACGAAGCUGGCUGUGAAGUUUCUCUAUCUCUCAAGCUAAAUCAUCCAACUGAGGUGAAGAGGUGGUUGAUGUGCUCGCUCCUGUCGAUAGAGAAUCUAAAAUUAGUCUGAUCUUCCUCUUAAUGUCAAAAAUUCUCCCACUGAAUCUGAGAAGAGAACCCUCCAUACUCUCCAGUCUAGUACUCAGAUCAGAUAAAAGCUCUAUCAAUGAGGAUAUGUGUGGCACGACUGAAAAGUCUGAAGAAGGGUCAGAAAAAGAACUCGAUGGAGGCUGGCGAUACUGCUGCUGCUGCUGCAUCUACUGGAGAAUUUACUCCUGAUACUGCUGAAACUGAUGGAGCUGCUGAAGAACCUGAUCUUGAAAUCGCUGCUGCUGAAUAGAUAGAAUGCCUGCCACUCUCUCAGCCAACAGUCCCAUAUCAUCCUCCCCCAAACUGAAAGAUAGCACAGUAUGGCUCGACGAUG
rnacentral:lncRNA from 1 species